rnacentral:ncRNA from 1 species
UCUUAUUAAGAGUGGUGGAGGGAAUAGGCCCUGCGAAACCCGGCAACCUGAAAAAUCAGGUGCUACAUCCUACAGCAACAUUGUCUGAAAGAUAAGA